GCAGGGAUGGUUCAGUGGUAGAAUUCUCACCCUCCAUGCGGGAGACCAGGGUUCCAUUCCCGGUCAGUGUA
rnacentral:tRNA from 1 species